UACAGAGGGGGCAAGCGUUGUUCGGAAUUAUUGGGCGUAAAGGGCGCGUAGGCGGCCUGCUAAGUCGAACGUGAAAUCCCCGGGCUCAACCCGGGAACUGCGUCCGAUACUGGCAGGCUUGAAUCCGGGAGAGGGAUGCGGAAUUCCAGGUGUAGCGGUGAAAUGCGUAGAUAUCUGGAGGAACACCGGUGGCGAAGGCGGCAUCCUGGACCGGCAUUGACGCUGAGGCGCGAAAGCCAGGGGAGCAAACAGG
rnacentral:rRNA from 1 species